UACAGUUAAACCCCCCAACUGGCCUACUGCCAACCAAGAUUGGUGCCCUCUGGGGGACAUUGCUGUCUCAAAAAAACUGCAGCCUGUUAGCAAGAAGAUGGUGAAUGUUGGUUGGGCAGAUAACUGCCCUUGACUCCCACAGAUAGUCCUGGUUCCUGAUCUAUAGGAUUCCCAGUUCCUUACAAGAGAUUUUCCAUGAGGGAAACCACUGGAUGCCAAGGAAUCAGCUGCAGAAAGGGCUGAGCUCAGGGUGGCUGGGAUGGAGAGGACCGGAUGAGAGGCAGCACAGAGAAAGAUGGAAGAGCACCUCACCUGCUCAAGAUUCAUAAAGCUACUGGACUUUGCUGAAGAAUGAAUCACUUAGGAUGAAGCUGCCACUCGAGGACAGAUUCCUGGAUGAGCGUGAUGGUAAUCUUCUCACAGAUGAAACGGCUCACCUCGCAUUAGUGACACCACUGAACGCUGUGUUAUCACCCGUCAAUUGCCGUCACGCCUCUUAUAUUCUGCAACAUUGCCAAAUUCCACUUUUGUUAAAAGUUAUCACAUUGUCAAUUUUUCUAAUCUAAUUCUUAAUCUUGGAAAUGUGCCCUGAUUUCUGUUGCACUCAAGCCAGUAAUAAGAUAUUGUUUUCCUGUUUUAUUAUCGAUUUUCCACCCUCAUUAUAGUGUCCUCAUUUAUUACUGUUUAUGGUUCCUAAUAUGCAUCUUGACGUACAGGGCAGAUAAUGUAAAACUCAGGGAAAGCAUGUUGGAAAUUCACAAGGACUGUGGGUUGUUAUCCUGGGUCCCUUCCUCAUAAAGAACUAAGAUAUAACACAGUGGCUCCUUGUUCAGGUUUUCAUCAUUGAAAGGUUCCACCCCAGCACCUUGUGUCACAGACUUAGAGGUGGUGACAGGAAAGAGAUCCAGCUGUGACUCACAGACCCCAGGGUCCAAGGGGCCACAGAUAAGCACAGCUCUGAGUCUCUAGGGCUACAAACAACCAGUAUGUGCGUCUUUGGAGAAGACUACAUCUUUCACAUUUAUCAGCUCAUGCGAUCGUUACAGGAGCUCAGGGAGAUAGAAAGACCCUUAUAUUAACCCUGUGUGCCAGAAAAGCAAGCUGGUAAGAAUCAAAAAGACAUAUUAUGGAGUUUGAUAUUUGACCAGGGCUCUGGUGUUGAAGGGCAGAGGCUCCCUCACCCUCUAGCUGAUGAGGGAGAAGAGUGGGGAGCGGGCAGGACUCCCUGCAGGGGGCCGGAAGGGCUCAGCAGAGCUCUGGACUUCACUGAGCAUCUGGCCCCUCGGGCAUUGCAGACUCAGGAACCCCUUGCCCAGCCAGGCCCCGUGCAUGCAGGAAAAACCCGCAGGAGCAGGAGCUGAGCCAGACCAUCCCGGAGUUUCAGCUGAGUGCCUGCUUGUGUUUAAUUACCUUCAUUUCACAGAUUAGGAAUCCGAUAUUCAGAGUAUAAAUAACCUCCAAAGUAUAUUCUCAAUGGAUUUUAUG